rnacentral:lncRNA from 10 species
AAAAGGGCUACUUUGACAUCAACUCUGCAGGGCCCAUGAGCUCUGGGCUGUCCCCAGCACUCUCCAAAGUCAUACAGUCAGGCCAGGUGUGGUGGCAAGCACAUGUAAUCCCAGCACUGUGGGAGGCAGAGGUGGGAGGAUCCCUUGAGCCCAGGAGUUCGAGGCCAGCCUGGGCAACAUGUGAGACCCCCAUCUCUACAAAAACAAUUAAAACAAAUUAACUCGACAUGGUGG